CUCUCUCUCACCCGUAUGACUAUUUUCACAGACUUGGAACUUUGCUUGCCUUUCCCUCGCUCUUUGACUUUUCCCAUUCCAAUCGAGUGCCCUUUACACGUCACACGUAUCGCAUGUGCAAAAUCAAUAGAAUUGUAAUAUCAAAACUCAAGAAAUGUGGAGACAUUCAACCCCAAGCCUACUGCUCUUGGUGGAGCUAGGCUAGAAAAUACAAAGCUUGAUUAGGCAAAUUGAAGUCCCGUUCUACAAAACAAUUUUAUUGGUAUUAUAUUAAAAAAAAAAAUCAACACCAAACAAAGCAGAAGCCAGAAGGGAUCGAAUCGAAUUUGUACAAAAGCCAGCUGAGGCAGAAAAGGAGGGUACGAAACAGAGGAGG
rnacentral:misc_RNA from 1 species